rnacentral:rRNA from 1 species
UGGGGAAUUUUCUGCAAUGGGCGAAAGCCUGACAGAGCAAUACCGCGUGAGGGAUGAAGGCUCGUGGGUCGUAAACCUCUUUUUUCAAGGAGGAAGUUCUGACGUGUACUUGAAGAAUAAGCAUCGGCUAACUCCGUGCCAGCAGCCGCGGUAAGACGGAGGAUGCAAGUGUUAUCCGGAAUCACUGGGCGUAAAGCGUCUGUAGGUGGUUUAGUAAGUCUAUUGUUAAAGCUUGAGGCUCAACUUCAAAUCAGCGAUGGAAACUGCUAGACUAGAGUGUGGUAGAGGUAAGAGGAAUUUCCAGUGGAGCGGUGAAAUGCGUAGAUAUUGGAAAGAACACCGAUGGCGAAGGCAUCUUACUGGGCCAUAACUGACACUCAGAGACGAAAGCUAGGGUAGCAAAUGGG